rnacentral:sRNA from 1 species
GAAGUGGGAGGAGGAGGAGGGGAAAGCGGGGGCUGCGGGAGGGGGAGGUGGUAGUUGCGGCGCUGGUUCCCGGGAGCAGCCGUCGAGCCACAACUGCGGAGGAGGAGUUCGGGAAGGCGGCCGUCGGGACUCCUCCCCUCCAUCGUCUCCGCCCCGGUUGAGAGGCGCCUCGGCGCAUCGGAGGGACCCUCCCCCGCGCUUCCUCAGGCUGCUGUCGCCGCUGCUGGGAGAUGGGCCUACUUGCCCGCCACCCUGCGCUGCCGCCGCUCUGAGGAGUUAAAGGGACAAGUAGACACAUUACAGAGAAGACGCGCAGAAAAGGAGGAAGCAGUGUGCUCAUGGAGGCAGAGAUUGGAGUGAUGUAACCGCAAGCCAAGGAAUGCUUAUAGUCACCAGAAGCUGGAAGAGUCAAAGGACACAUUCUCCCCUCGAGCCCCAGUGGGAGCACGGCCCAGCUGGAUUUUGGACUUCUGGCCUCCAGAACUAGACAGGGCCUCACUGUGUCACCCAGGGUGGAAUACAGUGGUGUGAUCAUAGCUCACUGCAGCCUGGAAUUCCU